GCACAAGCGGUGGAUGAUGUGGUUUAAUUCGAUGCAACGCGAAAACCUUACCCACCUUUGACAUGUACGGAAGUUGCCAGAGAUGGCUUCGUGCUCGAAAGAGAGCCGUAACACAGGUGCUGCAUGGCUGUCGUCAGCUCGUGUCGUGAGAUGUUGGGUUAAGUCCCGCAACGAGCGCAACCCUUGUCAUUAGUUGCUACGAAAGGGCACUCUAAUGAGACUGCCGGUGACAAACCGGAGGAAGGUGGGGAUGACGUCAAGUCCUCAUGGCCCUUAUGGGUAGGGCUUCACACGUCAUACAAUGGUCGGUACAGAGGGUUGCCAAGCCGCGAGGUGGAGCCAAUCCCUUAAAGCCAUUCGUAGUCCGGAUCGCAGUCUGCAACUCGACUGCGUGAAGUCGGAAUCGCUAGUAAUCGUGGAUCAGAAUGUCACGGUGAAUACGUUCCCGGGUCUU
rnacentral:rRNA from 1 species